rnacentral:rRNA from 1 species
AUUGAACGCUGGCGGCAGGCCUAACACAUGCAAGUCGAACGGUAACAGGAAACAGCUUGCUGUUUCGCUGACGAGUGGCGGACGGGUGAGUAAUGUCUGGGAAACUGCCUGAUGGAGGGGGAUAACUACUGGAAACGGUAGCUAAUACCGCAUAACGUCGCAAGACCAAAGAGGGGGACCUUCGGGCCUCUUGCCAUCGGAUGUGCCCAGAUGGGAUUAGCUAGUAGGUGGGGUAACGGCUCACCUAGGCGACGAUCCCUAGCUGGUCUGAGAGGAUGACCAGCCACACUGGAACUGAGACACGGUCCAGACUCCGACGGGAGGCAGCAGUGGGGAAUAUUGCACAAUGGGCGCAAGCCUGAUGCAGCCAUGCCGCGUGUAUGAAGAAGGCCUUCGGGUUGUAAAGUACUUUCAGCGGGGAUGAAGGGAGUAAAGUUAAUACCUUUGCUCAUGGACGUUACCCGCAGAAGAAGCACCGGCUAACUCCGU